rnacentral:rRNA from 1 species
UGCCAGCAGCCGCGGUAAUACGGAGGGUGCGAGCGUUAAUCGGAAUCACUGGGCGUAAAGCGUGCGUAGGCGGCGCAGCAAGUCAGACGUGAAAGCCCUCGGCUCAACCGAGGAAUUGCGUUUGAAACUGCUGUGCUUGAGUCUCGGAGAGGUUGGCGGAAUUCCAGGUGUAGGAGUGAAAUCCGUAGAUAUUCGGAGGAACACCAGUGGCGAAGGCGGCUCACUGGCUCGAUACUGACGCUGAGGUGCGAAAGCGUGGGGAGCAAACAGGAUUAGAUA